rnacentral:tRNA from 1 species
GUUUCCGUAGUGUAGUGGUUAUCACAUCCGCUUAACACGCGGAUGGUCCCCAGUUCGAUCCCGGACGGAAACA